rnacentral:misc_RNA from 1 species
CACAGGACCAUAAGCCCCUUGCACAUAUGAACCAGGUAACACUGGAGGCCUCACCCUCAAGCUGGUGGAUCCCCCUCCAUAUUGGUCAGGUAUAGUAAUUGAAGGUGACUGCACCGGCUGAUAAAAAUGGGGUGCAGAUUCUGGCAGUGAUGUGCCAGCUGGUUGAGGAUGAUGGAAUUUACAAGUUAUACCAAAUUUGCACUGCCCCGUUUUCAAAUAGUAGGAGCAUUCUUUUUCACCCAGUCGUAAUGGGUAUCCAUGUGUAUUUAGUGGAAAAUGGCUCAAGGAUCCACCUCCAUGCUUCGGAUGAUGGAACUUGCAAGAUGCUCCAAAUUUACAGGUUCCAGUCUUCAAAUAAAACUGACAAGG